CCUACGGGAGGCAGCAGUGGGGAAUAUUGCACAAUGGGGGAAACCCUGAUGCAGCGACGCCGCGUGAGUGAAGAAGUAUUUCGGUAUGUAAAGCUCUAUCAGCAGGGAAGAAAGUGACGGUACCUGGGUAAGAAGCCCCGGCUAACUACGUGCCAGCAGCCGCGGUAAU
rnacentral:rRNA from 1 species